GAAAGAUUUGAGAAAAAGACCAGAGAGAAGCAUAUAAACGACAGCGUAUCCCUUCACGCUGUGCAGAAGAGUUCAAGAGUGAAUGAUACAAAGAACAUAGGCGGGGGGAGAACGACGUUUUCCCGGGGGAACCCUCCAGGCUGGAACGACGUUAUCCUUCCCCUCCACCUUCAAGAGGGAGUGAGUGAAGAUUGAAACAGAGAAAGGGAGCAUUAGUUCCCAGAGUCGAGGC
rnacentral:misc_RNA from 1 species